AAUACUAAAUCAGGAUCAGGACAACCAUUUGAACUAAGUAAACUGCCUAACGUAUCUACAUCCAAAUCUGUGGGUCUCUUUUGCUUCUGGGCUACUAACUGGCAAAAGUCCUGAGCAGCUCUUACAAUAUCUGCUUUUCCAUCUUCCAGAGACAGCACCUUCACUGCCAAAUGGCAAUUUGAAACUUGAUCAUCUUUGUCAUUACUAUUUGCAAAUUCUGGUGAGUAUUUUGAACAAUCUAGGCCCAGAAGUUCUUGCUGUUGUUUUAAAAUUUCAUCCAUCAAUCUGGAAUUAUUUCUUUUGAAAAUACCUUGAUCAUCUUUGUCAUUACUAUUUGCAAAUUCUGGUGAGUAUUCUUGGUGGUCGUAGACGCUAAUGUAGGAGAUGCCCACGGCCAUACACCACACCACUAGGCUCGCGAUGUCCGAGAAGCUGGGUUCCCGCUCCACCUCGGUGAUCACCAGGCCCAUAUGCACAGGCAGCUUCUCCAAGGAACGACCGUCCGCGCGCCAGCGCAUCCGGUGGUGUGCGGCUGCCAGGCACGACCCCCCGCGCGGGUGCCGGUGGUGACGGCGGUUCCUGCCGACUGCCGGGGGCUUGCGGAGCGUGAAGCCGAGCGGCGCUAGGACCGCGGCAGAGGCGGCGCGGCAGCAGCGCCGCCAGAUCCAGUUCCAGGUGCCGAACCGAACGCGGAGCCAGGAG
rnacentral:lncRNA from 1 species